UGCAAGUCGAACGAUGAAGCCCAGCUUGCUGGGUGGAUUAGUGGCGAACGGGUGAGUAACACGUGAGUAACCUGCCCCCGACUUUGGGAUAAGCCCGGGAAACUGGGUCUAAUACCGGAUAUGACUUUCCACCGCAUGGUGGGUUGUUGAAAGAUUUAUCGGUGGGGGAUGGACUCGCGGCCUAUCAGCUUGUUGGUGAGGUAAUGGCUCACCAAGGCGACGACGGGUAGCCGGCCUGAGAGGGUGACCGGCCACACUGGGACUGAGACACGGCCCAGACUCCUACGGGAGGCAGCAGUGGGGAAUAUUGCACAAUGGGCGGAAGCCUGAUGCAGCGACGCCGCGUGAGGGAUGACGGCCUUCGGGUUGUAAACCUCUUUCAGUAGGGAAGAAGCGAAAGUGACGGUACCUGCAGAAGAAGCGCCGGCUAACUACGUGCCAGCAGCCGCGGUAAUACGUAGGGCGCAAGCGUUAUCCGGAUUUAUUGGGCGUAAAGAGCUCGUAGGCGGUUUGUCGCGUCUGCCGUGAAAGUCCGAGGCUCAACCUCGGAUCUGCGGUGGGUACGGGCAGACUAGAGUGAUGUAGGGGAGACUGGAAUUCCUGGUGUAGCGGUGAAAUGCGCAGAUAUCAGGAGGAACACCGAUGGCGAAGGCAGGUCUCUGGGCAUUUACUGACGCUGAGGAGCGAAAGCAUGGGGAGCGAACAGGAUUAGAUACCCUGGUAGUCCAUGCCGUAAACGUUGGGCACUAGGUGUGGGGGACAUUCCACGUUUUCCGCGCCGUAGCUAACGCAUUAAGUGCCCCGCCUGGUGAGUACGGCCGCAAGGCUAAAACUCAAAGUAUUGACGGGGG
rnacentral:rRNA from 1 species